ACGGGAGGCUGCAGUAGGGAAUCUUCCACAAUGGGCGAAAGCCUGAUGGAGCAACGCCGCGUGUGUGAUGAAGGCUUUCGGGUCGUAAAGCACUGUUGUAUGGGAAGAACAGCUAGAAUAGGAAAUGAUUUUAGUUUGACGGUACCAUACCAGAAAGGGACGGCUAAAUACGUGCCAGCAGCCGCGGUAAUACGUAUGUCCCGAGCGUUAUCCGGAUUUAUUGGGCGUAAAGCGAGCGCAGACGGUUUAUUAAGUCUGAUGUGAAAGCCCGGAGCUCAACUCCGGAAUGGCAUUGGAAACUGGUUAACUUGAGUGCAGUAGAGGUAAGUGGAACUCCAUGUGUAGCGGUGGAAUGCGUAGAUAUAUGGAAGAACACCAGUGGCGAAGGCGGCUUACUGGACUGCAACUGACGUUGAGGCUCGAAAGUGUGGGUAGCAAACAGGAUUAGAUACCCUGGUAGUCCACACCGUAAACGAUGAACACUAGGUGUUAGGAGGUUUCCGCCUCUUAGUGCCGAAGCUAACGCAUUAAGUGUUCCGCCUGGGGAGUACGACCGCAAGGUUGAAACUCAAAGGAAUUGACGGGGACCCGCACAAGCGGUGGAGCAUGUGGUUUAAUUCGAAGCAACGCGAAGAACCUUACCAGGUCUUGACAUCCUUUGAAGCUUUUAGAGAUAGAAGUGUUCUCUUCGGAGACAAAGUGACAGGUGGUGCAUGGUCGUCGUCAGCUCGUGUCGUGAGAUGUUGGGUUAAGUCCCGCAACGAGCGCAACCCUUAUUGUUAGUUGCCAGCAUUCAGAUGGGCACUCUAGCGAGACUGCCGGUGACAAACCGGAGGAAGGCGGGGACGACGUCAGAUCAUCAUGCCCCUUAUGACCUGGGCUACACACGUGCUACAAUGGCGUAUACAACGAGUUGCCAACCCGCGAGGGUGAGCUAAUCUCUUAAAGUACGUCUCAGUUCGGAUUGUAGUCUGCAACUCGACUACAUGAAGUCGGAAUCGCUAGUAAUCGCGGAUCAGCACGCCGCGGUGAAUACGUUCCCGGGUCUUGUACACACCGCCCGUCACACCAUGGGAGUUUGUAAUGCCCAAAGCCGGUGGCCUAACCUUUUAGGAAGGAGCCGUCUAAGGCAG
rnacentral:rRNA from 1 species